rnacentral:lncRNA from 1 species
UUUCCAUGGCAACAUAGUAGUUCCAAUGAUUGCCAAAAUCAUCCAAAACCAAUAUAUGGCUGGCACCUACAUUGUAUUAAAAUAUGAUGAUUCUGAGUUUAAGCAUCUCCAAAUUAUUCACAAAAACCAAAAACUGGAAUUUUUCACAAUUGUUCCGUUUCCAUGGAAACGGCAGCCAUUUUUUAUGGUCUUAGACCCUACUGCAACCCGAAAUUUUGUGUUCCUCAUUAUACUUAACUAUCAUCAUGAUUGGUUCCAUUGGCUCCAAAAAAACUGCAGGACAAAAUUAGGUGGAAGAAUAAUAAUAAUAAUAAUAAAAAAAAGAAACGGAGGAAAAGCAAUAUGUCACCCGACAUUGUCGAUCGGGUGACAUAACUAGAUUUGCGAUUGCAAGCAAUAGCGGAUGGCACCCUUCCC